rnacentral:rRNA from 1 species
CCUACGGGCGGCUGCAGUGGGGAAUAUUGGACAAUGGGCGAAAGCCUGAUCCAGCCAUGCCGCAUGUGUGAAGAAGGCCUUCGGGUUGUAAAGCACUUUCAGUGGGGAAGAAAGCCUUGGGGCUAAUACCCUCGAGGAAGGACAUCACCCACAGAAGAAGCACCGGCUAACUCCGUGCCAGCAGCCGCGGUAAUACGGAGGGUGCGAGCGUUAAUCGGAAUUACUGGGCGUAAAGCGCGCGUAGGCGGUCUGAUAAGCCGGUUGUGAAAGCCCCGGGCUCAACCUGGGAACGGCAUCCGGAACUGUCAGGCUAGAGUGCAGGAGAGGAAGGUAGAAUUCCCGGUGUAGCGGUGAAAUGCGUAGAGAUCGGGAGGAAUACCAGUGGCGAAGGCGGCCUUCUGGACUGACACUGACGCUGAGGUGCGAAAGCGUGGGUAGCAAACAGGAUUAGAUACCCUAGUAGUC